UUUCGCUUAAAGUGUUUCUGGGGUAUGAUUAGUAGAAAGGUGGUUGUUCCAUGUUCUAUUGAGCGUACUAUAAAUCUUAGUAGCCGGAAAUCCUAAUGGCGAAGCAAACUUUCCUUAUAUUGAUAUUUCGAAUGGAGUCGCUUUGGUUGAAUUUAAAAUAGGAUCUGAAAGCUGCAACUUUAAAGCGAAUAGUAUUAUGAAGGUUCUAUACAUUCAAUUUUUGAAAAAAGACCGCAUCAAGUGACAUUUCACCCGAAAAUGACCCUUCCAGAUGUUGCUCAAGUUUUCUCAAGAAAUUUGAAAUGACUCGUCUGAAGCCAUUGUGGAUGAGUUUAGAAAGGAUACCAGCUACCUGCCACUUCAAAUACUACUAGGCAUGAUAUAUCCAAUCUAUGAAGAUGGAAAACUUCAAACCUACCCUUCACUUGAGGUAUAAUCUGAAUGUUGGCCGGAUAUUUUCCCUUAAAGGAAUUGGGAACUGUUCAGCUCGCCGAAUUUGAAUGGAUGAUGGAUGCAGAAGUGAAUUAACUUGUAUACGAUUUAAUAUAAAGAAUUGUCCGGCUCCCUAAUUGGAUUUUCAUCUGCGUGGAAUGUCAUUGGUUUCAACAAACCAUGUACUGUCUGGCAUUGGUACUUUUCUUAUUUAAAAUGAAUAAAUUGUAACAGAUAAUGUAAUCGAGUUCAUGUAGUUAAAUUCGUUAAUUGAAUUGAGUGAGUAACUAUAAAACGAUAUUGAAUGUUGGGAACUUCAUUGAAUUCAUAGUAAACUAAUGAAAUUAAGUUUUAAAUUUCUAGUUACCUUAAAUUUGCUUUCUUUAGCUAAAUUGGCUUCAAAUGAAAUGGAUACAGCUAUUGAAAACUAUAAUUGUAUACAGAUAAAAAUUAGUAUUUGUAUUCGUAGUAGUUGUAUGCUUAAUGUACAUGUUCGAUUCCAAGUCGCUGAAUUUUUCGGAUGUUUCAGGUUUAUACUCGUAUUACAUGUACUAUAUUACGUUAGAACCUCCAAUGAUUAAAAUCUGGCUAUAAAUAUUUAAUUUCAAAUAGUUCAUGGGUUUAAUCUAACUAUACGUCAAAAAGUUUAAAUGCGUUAAUAUAAUCUUUUCAGAGAUUAGUUAGGGGAAAAUUUACUACAGUAAUAUUUGCAUAUUAUAGAUUCUCGGUAUGAAACUUUAAGACGUUCUAAAUCUCGUUUCUUUUCGAUCCCUUAAUUAUACGCAAGCUAUUCAGCUGAGCAAAUUUGUCUUUGAAAUUCGAUUCAAUUUAAGAUUUGUAUAAAUCGUGACUUAUAAUGAAAAUUAGCAAUCCUUUAUUUUAAUUUUGAAUCGUUAUCGAUAGUUGUAAAUACCAAUGUUGAAAGUAUAAAUUGCACUUGCCUGGCUCUUCCACGAAUUUCAUGGGGGAAAUGAGUUCGAGAGUGUAAGAAAAGGGUCUCGGAAAAUGGGAUGGAGGGUAACGCGCCAAGUAAUGCUUUUCCCUGUAACUUUCCGUUUAGGCAGUUUGGGACCGGCUGUCUAAAUGGAAAGUUGCGGUCCCCAGGGAAACGGUACUUGGCGUGUUAGCAAGGUGACGGUAGUACUGGGAAAGGAAAUCGAGUUAGAUGGGUUAUAGCUUUGUAGGCGAGCCAGGCUAAAUUUGGAGAUAUCUAUAAUUAGAUGUAUUCAUAAAAAACCUAAUCAAAGGGGGGUGAAAUUUUGAGAAAUUGGAAAAUUCUCAAGUGCAGUUUAUAAUGGAGGCAUUGGUUGCACUAUUGAAAAAUUUUCCGUAUCAUCUUAAUUUUGUGUAGCUAAGACUUCUGGAAAUUAGAAUUUUCAGAUUAAUGAGAUUAGCCAGAUUAACAUACUUAAAUAGUAAAGAAAAUAGUUAUAUCAAAUUUACAAUCUUUAUCAAUUACAAUAGUUAUAUCAAAAGUACAAAAAUGAAUGUUAAAAUCGAUUUAAUGCAAUAUUGAUACGUUCAUCGUUAAAGAACCUUUCAACAAACUUCUGGCACCUGACUAAUUAGAAGUCGUUUGAAAAAAAAUUAUGAAAACUCGGUUUAGCUCCUACUUUAAUCUUUUAUUUUAAGAUAGUUGCAAAUCGUAUAAUUUAAUUAAAAUCGGAUUUAUGUUGAGAUUUUAACAUUUCUACAUUAAAUUCGUCUUGCUUGAUUUAUUUUGAACUGAAAUUUACAAUAGUUUUCUGAAUUCAUUUUUUAUUGAGCUUGCAGUUUUAACGCUUCGCAAUAAUUCCUUUAAACGUCCCUUAACCUGGAUAAUCACUGUUCAAUUCAAAUAGGUUCCGAAAUUAAAGGUUUCAAAUUAAACGGCAUUCACUUAUUGCUCAAUUUUUCUUCGUUGACACUUAAUUUCCUAGCAAAUACAUUGAAACAAUAUAUAUUAAAUUCUAAGUAUUAAACAAAUAUUAUUCUAGCGAAGUAGGUCUUAAACCAGUAGGGAGAAGCUUGGAAUCGAACAGGAAAAAAUAUAUUGAAUUGUAAAAGAAAUGUUUCAUUCAACUUCUAAAUGGGUUGUAAUUUUCAGCGUCGCGAAAUUUCUCAAGUAAAUUAUUAGAAUCGUUUGUUUCAUUUGAAGCAUUUAAAAUAUGAAAGAAAACGUAAUUUAGUUUUAUGAAUGACAAAUUUUAAUAACUGAAGUAUUUUAGAGAAAUGUAAAAUGUUUUGUAGGUAAUCUUUUUUUCCACUCGUAAUUCGUACCUAAAAUUGUAAUGCAUGCUCUAGCAUCAACUUCUCAUAGUGUUUAUAAAUUCUAUUUUCUUGGAAAAUGCAUAUUUUUUUAAACAAAGUACGUUUUAUUAGAUCGUCUAUAUAAUUGAAGUUCCCUUGCAAAUGUUGUCAUUCUACAGGAUUUAAGCAAAUAUAUUAUGUUUAAACUUUGUAAACUAAAUCUUGUAUAUUUUCAGUAAUCAUUGACUUUAAGAUCCUAGAACAAGUGUUGUAAACCUCGAGUCUUGAGGUAACCACUCGUAUGAACAGUGAAUAGUUGUCAAUUUGAAUGGAUGUUCAACAUUGUUUCCGACGAAUGCUUGAUUGCGCCUAAAUGCAAGAUUUGUUCAUGUGCUGAAAGGUAGUUUUGUUCUCUUGUAAAACAUAAUUAUUCUUUGUGAAUGUAUAUUGAAAAUUGUGAGCUAGCAUUUCCAGGUUGGACGGUGUAUAUUAGUAGAUCGAAUUAAAUUUUUAAAACUAAAUCCGUAAAAUUUCAGAGGCAUAAUUAUCUAUUUUAAUUAGU